rnacentral:rRNA from 1 species
AGCGAACGCUGGCGGCAGGCCUAACACAUGCAAGUCGAACGAAGUCUUCGGACUUAGUGGCGGACGGGUGAGUAACACGUGGGAACGUGCCUUUAGGUUCGGAAUAACUCAGGGAAACUUGUGCUAAUACCGAAUGUGCCCUUCGGGGGAAAGAUUUAUCGCCUUUAGAGCGGCCCGCGUCUGAUUAGCUAGUUGGUGAGGUAAAGGCUCACAAAGGCGACGAUCAGUAGCUGGUCUGAGAGGAUGAUCAGUCACAUUGGGACUGAGACACGGCCCAAACUCCUACGGGAGGCAGCAGUGGGGAAUCUUGCGCAAUGGGCGAAAGCCUGACGCAGCCAUGCCGCGUGAAUGAUGAAGGUCUUAGGAUUGUAAAAUUCUUUCACCGGGGACGAUAAUGACGGUACCCGGAGAAGAAGCCCCGGCUAACUUCGUGCCAGCCGCCGCGGUAAAAC